rnacentral:rRNA from 1 species
ACGCUGGCGGCAGGCCUAACACAUGCAAGUCGAGCGGAAACGACACUAACAAUCCUUCGGGUGCGUUAAUGGGCGUCGAGCGGCGGACGGGUGAGUAAUGCCUAGGAAAUUGCCUUGAUGUGGGGGAUAACCAUUGGAAACGAUGGCUAAUACCGCAUAAUGCCUACGGGCCAAAGAGGGGGACCUUCGGGCCUCUCGCGUCAAGAUAUGCCUAGGUGGGAUUAGCUAGUUGGUGAGGUAAUGGCUCACCAAGGCGACGAUCCCUAGCUGGUCUGAGAGGAUGAUCAGCCACACUGGAACUGAGACACGGUCCAGACUCCUACGGGAGGCAGCAGUGGGGAAUAUUGCACAAUGGGCGAAAGCCUGAUGCAGCCAUGCCGCGUGUAUGAAGAAGGCCUUCGGGUUGUAAAGUACUUUCAGUUGUGAGGAAGGGKGURKWGUUAAUAGCKSYRYAUCUUGACGUUAGCAACAGAAGAAGCACCGGCUAACUCCGUGCCAGCAGCCGCGGUAAUACGGAGGGUGCGAGCGUUAAUCGGAAUUACUGGGCGUAAAGCGCAUGCAGGUGGUUCAUUAAGUCAGAUGUGAAAGCCCGGGGCUCAACCUCGGAACUGCAUUUGAAACUGGUGAACUAGAGUGCUGUAGAGGGGGGUAGAAUUUCAGGUGUAGCGGUGAAAUGCGUAGAGAUCUGAAGGAAUACCAGUGGCGAAGGCGGCCCCCUGGACA